AGUGAACGCUGGCGGUAGGCCUAACACAUGCAAGUCGAACGGCAGCACAGUAAGAGCUUGCUCUUACGGGUGGCGAGUGGCGGACGGGUGAGGAAUACAUCGGAAUCUACUUUUUCGUGGGGGAUAACGUAGGGAAACUUACGCUAAUACCGCAUACGACCUACGGGUGAAAGCAGGGAAUCUUCGGACCUUGCGCGAUUGAAUGAGCCGAUGUCGGAUUAGCUAGUUGGCGGGGUAAAGGCCCACCAAGGCGACGAUCCGUAGCUGGUCUGAGAGGAUGAUCGGCCACCCUGGAACUGGGACACGGUCCAGACUCCUACGGGAGGCAGCAGUGGGGAAUAUUGGACAAUGGGCGGAAGCCUGAUCCAGCCAUACCGCGUGGGUGAAGAAGGCCUUCGGGUUGUAAAGCCCUUUUGUUGGGAAAGAAAAGCAGCAGGUUAAUACCCCGCUGUUCUGACGGUACCCAAAGAAUAAGCACCGGCUAACUUCGUG
rnacentral:rRNA from 1 species